CUGACUAUUUCUCCCCUCUUCUUUUUCAAUCUCGGCGAACAUAUCUGUAUUAUCUUCAUCGUGCCAUCCUCCGCGCAUUCCUCUAUCUCCUCAUCAGCAACUUGCUGUUGUAUUUCUCUUGGAGCCCCUGCGAUUUUGGGGGUUCUGACAAGAAGUUAUCAGCAGCCGACAUCUUACCUGCAUUAGAGCUCUCUGAAGGACUUUUAGAGUGAGGAAACGUUUCAUCCAGGUUCUUUUUCUUCCAAUAUGAAGCAAUUCGCACCAGUCGAGAAAUUCAACGACGGACAGCCAACAUCACCCAGCAUACCAAUGGACCGGACGAGGCACAGACACGGGGGGGGGGAGGAGAAGGGGCGAAGGAGAAGAAAAAGAAGUGGAGAAGAGUUGAAUCAGUGAAGCUUAGCAUUCAGGGCCACGUCGAUGGGCUUCACAUGUGUCAAAUGACGGUUUUCUGAAUGAGUCACAACCCACAGUCUGAGGAGGGCUGAUAAGACCUGAUUGAAGACACUGCCUUUCAGAGAGCCACAAAGCUGAAGCAAAACACAGGACUCAGACAUAGACGAACUUCAACAGACAUCAGACUCAAGAGGUAUCAGGAAAAAUCAAGACAAGUCGUGUAAACAUAACACCGUUGUUAAAAAUUGGGGAAAAUCUCUAAUUCUGGAAUAAGCACAAGAAAUUCAAACGUACUAUCAAAUUCGUGAUGAAAAACACAGGAAUCCCAGACAUAUAUUGUGCGGUAAUCAUCGUUCAAAAACAGCCAGCAUAAGACAAAGGAAGCAAUAAAUCAUGGCAAGAGUAUUGGUUCUGUUUGGAGAAACAUGGAGGGAGAUUUCUGGAGCCAAUCUUACACAAAACACUUUUUUGCCAAUUCAAUUCUUCAGACUGGCUACAGAAUUGUUUCGCAACCAAACUAUUCCAAAUGUCUUCCCCCUGCAGACUCACGAGGGACAGAUUGAUGCCAUAUGUGGCAGGUUGGAUGUAAACCAGGCCAGUAAAAAGACUUGAAUGGAAACGUGUUACUGCAAGUGUCUGCUAAAGCUGUUAUGAUCCAAAACAUCAAAUUUAUGGUGACAAGUUUUUUACCAUCUCCAAACCCAGGACCACCCCCCGCCCCCCUCUUCCCUCCCUCCCCCUUUGGCAAUUUUAACUCGCAGUGAGACACAGCAUUUCCAAAUGUCCCUCAUUCUCAUGCUUGGGAAAAACAGAUGCUUGGACACGAUGCCAAGCAUUUUCUGUUUAUAGCACAAUUCAUAUGCUGGGGAGGCUCGAUUGAUUUCCAUCAAGAAUUGUAUUGAUCUGGUUGUUUAUGCUGUAAUUUGGGCCCGUGUUCAACGUUUUUAUGAAACUCAAAAUGAAAGGAGCUGACACAAAGAAUAACCAAAACAAAAAGGAAAUCCUAAAUCAUGUUGUUGGGAAAUUAAGAUGGCUAUUAAAAAAAAUAAGAAAAAAAGACCCUAAGACUAACAAACAGAUGAUGUGCUCUGUUAAAAGAUGCAAGCCUGCGUGUAAAAUGGACAAGCAGACUGAAUUUCCACAAAUUCAUGUGGAUGCAUGUGAAUGAAUCUACCUAUGUUUACGCAAUG